UACAGAGGGGGCAAGCGUUGUUCGGAAUUACUGGGCGUAAAGGGCGCGUAGGCGGCCCGCUAAGUCGAACGUGAAAGCCUGGAGCUCAACUCCAGAACUGCCUUUAAAACUGCAUCGCUUGAAUCCAGGAGAGGUGAGUGGAAUUCCGAGUGUAGAGGUGAAAUUCGUAGAUAUUCGGAAGAACACCAGUGGCGAAGGCGGCUCACUGGACUGGUAUUGACGCUGAGGUACGAAAGCGUGGGGAGCAAACAGGG
rnacentral:rRNA from 1 species